GGACUACUGGGGUUUCUAAUCCCAUUCGCUCCCCACGCUCUCGUCCUAGCAGUGUCAGGAGGCACCCAGAGACUUGCCUUCGCUAUUGGUGUUCCAAACGAUAUCAACGCAUUUCACUACUACACCGUUUGUUCCAGUCUCCUCUUUGCCCCUCUAGUCCUGAAGUUUCAAAGGACAGUCACAAAGUUGAGCUUUGUGAUUUCACCUCUGACUUUCAAAACCACCGAUCGGUACGCUUUACGCCCAAUGAUUCCGGAUAACGCUUGAGGUCUCUGUAUUACCGCGGCGGCUGGCAC
rnacentral:rRNA from 1 species